GAUGAACGCUGGCGGCGUGCCUAAUACAUGCAAGUCGAGCGAACGGACGAGAAGCUUGCUUCUCUGAUGUUAGCGGCGGACGGGUGAGUAACACGUGGAUAACCUACCUAUAAGACUGGGAUCACUUCGGGAAACCGUAGCUAAUACCGGAUAAUAUUUUGAACCGCAUGGUUCAAAAGUGAAAGACGGUCUUGCUGUCACUUAUAGAUGGAUCCGCGCUGCAUUAGCUAGUUGGUAAGGUAACGGCUUACCAAGGCUACGAUGCAUAGCCGACCUGAGAGGAUGAUCAGCCACACUGGAACUGAGACACGGUCCAGACUCCUACGGGAGGCAGCAGUAGGGAAUCUUCCGCAAUGGGCGAAAGCCUGACGGAGCAACGCCGCGUGAGUGAUGAAGGUCUUCGGAUCGUAAAACUCUGUUAUUAGGGAAGAACAUAUGUGUAAGUAACUGUGCACAUCUUGACGGUACCUACUCAGAAAGCCACGGCUAACUACGUG
rnacentral:rRNA from 1 species